CAGAAGGGAGAUGAAAACAAUAGAGUGGAAAAAAUAUUUGGGAGGUAAAACAGAAGAAUUUGGUGACUGACAGGCUAUGGUUGGUGGUGGAAGGCUGGAUAAGGAAUCCAAGUUCUUCACAGGUAAAAGGAGUGUCAAAGUGAGAAUUUGGGGUCAAUGUAACAAACACCUUCCUCACAAAGGAGAAAAAGUUGUGAUUUUGUUACUGGAAGUGUGAAAGCAGAGGCUGCAUGAUUUUUAGAGACGUAAUGAAGGAAACCACUACAUUUGUCUACUCUGAUUUGAGAUUCCUUAAGCCAGCCCAGAACACCCAGAGAUGCCGACGUGCCCAGAGAGUAACAAAUGUGAACCAACGUCACAAAGCCUCUUUGAUCCAAUGCAAGACAGCCUUCCUUUUCUGCUCCAAAUAUGCUGGGUUUCUCACUCCUGGCUCCAGCUCCCAUUCAGAAUGGUCCCUGUCUUUGUAUUUGAUAUUAACAUUUGCAUUCCCAGAAUUUGACUUCUUGUUCUCCUUCAGUCCUUUGGGCUGGGGCUAGUCCCGGUGGUUCUUUCCCCUCUGGAAAGUCCUUCAUAAAGUAUGAUGCAGUCUCAUGAGCCAGCACUUAAAUGGGAUUGUAUUGACACUACUAUAUAGUAGAUUGAUUUAGGUAACUUACAAAGUCCCUACUCAGUGUAAGGUUCUAUCAUUUUAUAGUUAGUAUUCCUUGCAUUUUACUGAAAAUAGUUUUCAAAUUCUUUUUUUUUUUUUCUUUUU
rnacentral:lncRNA from 1 species